rnacentral:rRNA from 1 species
AACGAACGCUGGCGGCAGGCUUAACACAUGCAAGUCGAGCGCCCCGCCAGGGGAGCGGCAGACGGGUGAGUACCGCGUGGGAACGUACCUUUUGGUUCGGAACAACUCCGGGAAACUGGAGCUAAUACCGGAUAAGCCCUAACGGGGAAAGAUUUAUCGCCGAAAGAUCGGCCCGCGUCUGAUUAGCUAGUUGGUGAGGUAACGGCUCACCAAGGCGACGAUCAGUAGCUGGUCUGGGAGGAUGAUCAGCCACACUGGGACUGAGACACGGCCCAGACUCCUACGGGAGGGAGCAGUGGGGAAUAUUGGAGAAUGGGCGCAAGCCUGAUCCAGCCAUGCCGCGUGAGUGAUGAAGGCCUUAGGGUUGUAAAGCUCUUUUGUCCGGGAAGAUAAUGACUGUACCGGAAGAAUAAGCCCCGGCUAACUUCGUG